rfam:Rhodospirillum rubrum ATCC 11170, complete genome.
AGGCGGGGACGACCCCGCUGGAGGUGUUUUUCAGGCGGGGACGACCCCG